rnacentral:lncRNA from 1 species
AAAGCUAUUCACUCAAAAUCUCACCCAAUGUUGGAAAACAUCCACUUCCAUUAUUGUUUUGAAAUUUCACAACACACUUGUUCUCUCAUUUUCAAAAAGGGCUUUGAAUAUGCUUUGAGUGUCUUAAAAAUGAUUUGUUUCAUCUUCUAACCCAUUCUUUUUCCAUUUUUUUGAGAAUUUGAAUCUCAUCUUUCGAGAUAUGUGAUUGUUUAGGAGAUUUAGUUAUUGUGUUUAACAUUUAAUUGAAGAUUUCUUGUCAUUUCAGAGGUUUGCAUGGUGUGUGUUGUUGUGGAAGGAUUUGACAAGUCCAGUGGAAAAGAUGGAGGUCCUUCUCUCGAAAAAAUUACUUUGGUAGUGCUAUAAGGAAGCCUGCAGAAAAAGGGGGAGUUCUUCUCAAUCUUCGGACAGAACAACGUUCAAACCGUAAAGAUCAUGGAAAGUUCAUUACAGAACAGAGACUUUAGAGUAAAAUUGUUGGUUCUUGAAGAUUCAAUACGUUUUCAUGUAAAUAUUUUACGUGGAUUCAAUUUUGGGUAUUGUGUACAAGUCAAAAAAAGUCUAAAUCAAAUAUUUUAUAUUUUCUUAUUAUUUAAAUUGAAAUUGUAUUGAACAUCUUGUGAUUUGUCACAAGCUACAGUGAAAGAACAAAAUUUUCAAUGAAAAACUAUUGGACUAUGGUGUAGGCUUAGCAAGGAUGAGAGUCGAACUAAAAAAUAUGAUAUACUUUAUUCUCUCUCUAUUUUAGUUUCCUAGAAUUGCGUGUUUAAAUUGUUUUUAU